rnacentral:rRNA from 1 species
UACGUAGGGUGCAAGCGUUGCCCGGAUUUAUUGGGCGUAAAGGGCGCGUAGGCGGCUUGACAAGUCAAAGGUGAAAUCCCUCGGCUCAACUGAGGAACUGCCUUUGAAACUGUCAGGCUUGAGGCCGGGAGGGGGUAGCGGAAUUCCCAGUGUAGCGGUGAAAUGCGUAGAUAUUGGGAGGAACACCAGUGGCGAAGGCGGGCUACCUGGACCGGUACUGACGCUGAUGCGCGAAAGCGUGGGUAGCAAACAGG